GGUGUGUAAAAGAGAGUGUUCAGUGGCCAGGUAACGGCGGCGGGCGCGGCGGCAAGGUCACGACGAGCGAGGCGGAGGAGGAGAGAGAGAAGCGUAAGGAAGAGGAGAAAGAAGAGGAGGAGGAGGAGGAAGAUUGACGGAGGCUCUCCAGGUGAACACAGCUUUUUUUCUCCAAUAUCAACUUACUUUUCUUCUGUCCUCGUCUCCGUCGCUCCUACAUCCGGCCGGUGAAUUAGCGGCGUCACAUUCACUUAUCCGGCGCGUCCUUCUCCCGGGGCUGAGGGAAGCGACCCUGUCUUUCCAGUCCUUCCUCUGGGCGGGAGAGGAAAGAGCGUCUCAUCGCUGGUAAUUUGAAGUGGGAGUCUUUCGAUUUCCUUCGCUCGCUCAUUAGAGCAUUACAAGUUAAUAGGGUGAUAUGUGUUGUGCCAAGGAAAAAAUGUCUCUCCAUACCUCUGAUCCUUGUUAAUUCGAAUACAUGUUUCCGUUCUGCUCCUUCAUUAUAGCACUAAAAUGAAAGAUGAUUUGCAUUUCGUUAAGAAGAAAUCUUUAU